ensembl:lncRNA
GUUGACUGUGGGUUCUGCAGAACAUCCACCUGAAAACUGCGUGAGCUCAAAGUGUGUGGGUUGUUGACCUUUAUGAAGACUAACAGAGCGGAAAAAACAGGAAAAAGCAAAGUUUCUCCAGCAUCUCAAUAAUCUGUUGACUUACAAACUUCAGCAGCCGCUGGAAGGUCACGAAGGAGGUUUGAAACCAGAGAGCCGCUGCUAUCGCUAAGAUGAAAAGUGACAAGAAAUAUUUCCAACAACAGGAUUUCUGUCUCUCGCUCUCCUUUUUUUUUAUGUAUCUAAAGGGAAUCUUGGUAUAGUCUAUCAAAUUUGCAUCUUACAGAAGCAUAUCUGCUCUUUGUCCUGCAAAAAUAGAACAGGUUUACAAAUGGAAAGUAGAAAACUGUCAAAUGCUUUGGUUGCAGUUGCACCCAAAGAGACUUCCUC